rnacentral:lncRNA from 1 species
CAGAGAAGGAACAUCGGAACACUGAGUUUCAGGUUGGGGGUGGAGUAACCGCUUUGAAAUCAGAAGCAAAACUGGGAACCGCAGAGAGUCGGUGCUGAUUGGUCAGUGUUUUCCACAUGUUUUCUGGGAUGCCUGUCUGACCUUGUCUGGCUGACCAGGCGCAGUGCUAGGGAGAUCCUCUGUGUUUUUGAGUUUCCUCAGGAGGUCUUACUUUGAGGAAGCUAUCUACUGCUACAAAAACUCAGAUGUUGUGGAUAAAAAAGUCUACAGGAGGGGACAUUUAUGAGAAGUGUCUCAGACAGUAUCAGUGUUGCUACAGAGAAGCACAGCCUGUGUUGAGCUAAAAGUAAUGAAUCCUAAGAGGAGCCAACCCACAGGACCCAUCAGCAUCUUGUGGGCUUAAGAUCUUCACCCUAGCUGUCUGGAACUGAGUCUCCCACUAGCAGCCUUCAGAUGAAGAUGUAGAACUCUCAGCUCUGCCUGCACCAUGCCUGUCUGGAUGCUGCCAUGCUCUUGCCUUGAUAAUGAACUGAACCUCAGAACCUGUAAGCCAGCCCCAAUUAAAUGUUGUCCUUA